ACAAACAAGUUUAACGGUUGGAUCGUUGAAAUUAGUUUCGUACAAUGCGUAUCCCAUCGAUUUCAAUGUGUGUCUAUAUAUAUAUUUAUUUAUUAAGUAGAUUUCAAUGUCUGCAACUGAGUGAUCAGUUUCACAUAUUGGAGGUAAGCUAGGUUGAGAGUUCUUAGAUAUAAAACUUAUAGUUAAUGAUAUCCUUUACCAUAUCAAGGGCGAAGUAUAUCAAUGUUCCAAGUAUGAAGCUGCUUGUUUAGUUUCUUGAACCAUUGGUUUUUUAAAUAAUCUUGUAUUGAUAUUAUUGCUCUAAUUACUUAUAUUACUUUGGUUGCUAAUUUAUUAGUUUCAAAUGCAAGAAAGGAUUAGUUUCUAAUGUCAUAUUUUUAUGGUUCAAAAAGUGUAUAGAUGUCGCAGUUGAUCACUCGUCGUCGGAGUGUGUCUAAUGCGGCUCCUACAUCAUCAGCAUCUACUCCAGGCGUGAGUGCUCCAUUGAUUGGGGAGCCUACACCCCUUACUGAGGCUACUCCUACGGCGUCUUAGGUGCCCGUAUCAUCAACAUCAUCAGUGUCGGUUCAACCUCUCAGUGCACGGCGGCCUCACCGUCGCCGCCGCGAGCUGGAGCUUGGUGAUCACGCUUCCUCCUCCUCCGGAGUCGAUGGUGGGGCCUCCUAACCAGGUAGUUUUUUUUCUAAUUCUCACUACGUUGUAUUUUUUUUUUUCUAUUUUAAAACUAUUAUUUUAUGAUUGUGAAAAUUUGUUGGAUUGUGAAAAUGUGUUGCGGGUUGUGAAUUACUGUUUUAAGGUUUUGGGAAAUGAUAUACUAUUAGGGGAGGUUUUGCCCAAUUUUCUGUACAAAUUUAAGCUUUUUACCAUUUAAGUUUUUUUGGGCAGCUAAAAAAAACACCAGGGGGCCUAAUCGAAUGCUAAAGGAGGCACAUGCUGUACGUAUGUCCGCCUCCUUGAUCAAGAUUGCAUAUGACUCGCAACAUCGUGGAGCGGCUACCUCACAGCAGCAUAGCAGCGUUGUUACUAGCUGUGGUUAUGUUAUUCGGAAUUGUUGUCCUAUGCGGUGGGAGUCUUGGGCACAAAUUCCCGAGGAGACGAAGAAACUGGUGCCAGACAAGUUGUCGGUUAGUAAAUUAAUUUUUAGCCCUUAUCAUUUUUUUUUUAAAUUUUGUUUACAAAUAUUAUAAACCAAAGUAUAUUAUCUUAAUAUUAUUAAAUUUCUUAAUAUUAUUUUAUUGUUUUUCAUAUUUGUAGGUCAAUUUUGAUGUUAAUGACUUAUCCCCUGAGGUCAGUGCCUACUUAGAGGGGACCUUAGCAAACCGGUACAAAGAUUGGAAGAGCGCUUUUCACACGCAUUUUCAGCUAUGGGAUGAUCCGGAGAUUGCUCGCCUAGAGGGUUGCCCAAACGAGUUGAGGGACCGGCCAGAGGAUUGGGAGUGGCUCUGUAAACAUUUUAUGGAUCCAAAAUUUGUGAAGAAAUCUAUUGCUGGCAAGAAAGCUCGGGACUCAAAGACACUUCUCCACCAUUCCGGUUCGAAGCCCUUUUCGUAUAGGCUUGAGGCACGACGUCAAGUAAAAGUAUAUUAAUUUUUAAAUUUUAUACAUUUUAUUCUUUAUUAUUGACUAAUAAAAUUUACUUAAUGAUUUUUUUUUAGGAGGGUUCUACGUUCCCACAGAUUGACAUGUUCAAUGACGUUUACGUUCGACCCGGCAAUGAGACCGCUAAGGAGCUUCAUGAUGUUAUGGUGGAAAAGUCCACUGCUGUUCUCCAAGAAGCAACAUCGCAGCUUCCCCCGGAGACCCCGAUCGAGGACGUCAAUGUACCCGAGGAUGCAUAUAUUCAGAUCGUGACUGAGGUCUUGGAUCAGAAGUUGGGUCGUCGUUAUGGCAAGGUUGUUCGAUGUAUGGGGAAGGCGGGGGUUCGUGAGACGGGUGCCUCCUCUUCCAGAUCGUCCACAGGAUAGGUAAAUGCCUUGAAGGAGGAAGUGACAACCCUAAAAGGUCAGCUUGCGGCCCAGGGCGAGCACAUUAGGGCCCAGGACGAGAGGAUGAGUAUGAUUGUACAAGCCUUAGCGAUGUCCGGCCUCCAGAUCCCGAUGCCAACACGUGAUGUUGCUCCACCUUCAACUUCCCAGCCACUUCACCCAGCUGAUACCCAGUAGCAUGAUGUAUCCUAGAAGACUAGUAGUUUUUUUUUUUGUGUUUGGACAUCUUGUGUGUACAUUUUUAUAUAUUUUAUAAUUAAAUACUUUUUCUUGGUUUAA